GUCUUUUCCCACUCUAGGUUGAUUUCAUCCAAAUUUCUUCCCUGAUCUUGGAAGCUAAGCAGGGACAGCCCUGGUUAGUUCCUGGAUGGGAGACCACCAAUGCAUCCCAGGUGAUAGAGGCU
rnacentral:rRNA from 1 species